rnacentral:rRNA from 1 species
UACGUAGGGGGCCAGCGUUGUCCGGAUUUAUUGGGCGUAAAGAGCUCGUAGGUGGUUCGGUAAGUCGGAUGUGAAAUCUCCAGGCUCAACCUGGAGGGGUCAUUCGAUACUGCCGUGACUAGAGGUCGGUAGGGGAGUGUGGAAUUCCUGGUGGAGCGGUGAAAUGCGCAGAUAUCUGGAGGAACACCGGUGGCGAAGGCGGCAUCCUGGACCAACACUGACACUGAGGAGCGAAAGCCAGGGGAGCAAACGGG